GGUAAAAUGGCCGAAUAUAGGCGAUAAAUUGUAAAUUUAUAGAUGAAUCAUUGUUCUUUUACCAAU
rnacentral:tRNA from 1 species